rnacentral:RNase_P_RNA from 1 species
CAGGCUGGUCGGGCAGUCGCGGUUCUGCGUUGACGGGAUCGAGGAAAGUCCGCACUCCUAUAGAGCACGGCGUCGGAGAGUACCCCGGGGUGGGGAAACCGCCGAGAGGCGUGAACCUGCCGGAACAGGGCCACAGAAACAAACAGCUCCGUUUACGGAGUGAUGGUGAAAAGGUGGUGUAAGAGACCACCGGCAUGUGCAGUAAUGCAUAUGGCCAGGUAACCCCCGCCGGGAGCAAGGCCAAGCAGGGACGAUUUCGUCUGUGGACGAUGGGAGGCUGCUCGUCUCCAUACGUACCCUUCCCUCCUGUGGGUUGGGUCAGUCCCGGGUAGGCUGCACCGAGCAGAGCGGAGACGCUCUGCCCAGAGAGAUGACCGCCCAGGUGGAGCAAUCCACUGGACAGAAUGCGGCUUAUAGACCAGCCUGGAGC